UCACAACAAGAUGAUGCCCACAGAAAG
rnacentral:piRNA from 1 species